AUAUAUAUAUAUAUAUAUAUAUAUAUAUAUAUAUAUAUCAAGGAAAAAAUACUCAAUUUAGUUUUAUAGUUCA